rfam:Schistosoma mattheei strain Denwood, Zambia genome assembly, scaffold: SMTD_scaffold0019755
AGCUAGCAGUGGAAUCCAGGACGCGCGUUUCGUCCUGUUUGGGAGUCGUCAGCUGGAUGUACCUGCAUCUCAGAGUUGAUGUUCACUCUGGGACUCGAACUCAUUCUAAAACAGGACGAAACGCGCGUCCUGGAU